AGAAGCAGCCACCAUUUAAAGAGUGCGUAAUAGCUCACUAGUCGAGUGACCCUGCGCCGAAAAUGUACCGGGGCUAAACAUAUUACCGAAGCUGUGGAGUACACCUUUAGGUGUAUUGGUAGGAGAGCGUUCUAAGGGCGUCGAAGGCAGAUCGUGAGGACUGCUGGAGCGCUUAGAAGUGAGAAUGCCGGUAUGAGUAGCGAAAGACAGGUGAGAAUCCUGUCCACCGAAUGACUAAGGUUUCCUGGGGAAGGCUCGUCCGCCCAGGGUUAGUCGGGACCUAAGCCGAGGCCGAUAGGCGUAGGCGAUGGAUAACAGGUUGAUAUUCCUGUACCCGUUGUUUUUGUUUGAGCAAUGGAGGGACGCAGGAGGCUAAGGAAUGCAGACGAUUGGAAAUGUCUGUCCAAGCAGUAAGUCUGAAGAGGAGUCAAAUGCUUCUUUUCUUAAGGACAAGCUGUGAUGGGGAGGGAAAUAAUAGUACCGAAGUUCCUGAUGUCACACUGCCGAGAAAAGCUUCUAGUGAGAAAACAGCGGCCCGUACCGCAAACCGACACAGGUAGUCGAGGAGAGAAUCCUAAGGUGAGCGAGAGAACUCUCGUUAAGGAACUCGGCAAAAUGACCCCGUAACUUCGGGAGAAGGGGUGCUGAUCAUACGAUCAGCCGCAGUGAAUAGGCCCAAGCGACUGUUUAUCAAAAACACAGGUCUCUGCAAAAUCGUAAGAUGAAGUAUAGGGGCUGACGCCUGCCCGGUGCUGGAAGGUUA
rnacentral:rRNA from 1 species